GCCAGACUCCUACGGGAGGCAGCAGUGGGGAAUAUUGCACAAUGGGGGAAACCCUGAUGCAGCGACGCCGCGUGAGCGAUGGAGUACUUCGGUAUGUAAAGCUCUGCCAGCAGGGAAGAGAAUGACGGUACCUGACCAAGAAGCCCCGGCUAAAUACGUGCCAGCAGCCGCGGUAAUACGUAUGGGGCAAGCGUUAUCCGGAUUUACUGGGUGUAAAGGGAGCGUAGGCGGCAGGGCAAGCCUGAUGUGAAAGCCCGGGGCUCAACCCCGGGACUGCAUUGGGAACUGCCCCGCUCGAGUGCCGGAGGGGCAGGCGGAAUUCCUAGUGUAGCGGUGAAAUGCGUAGAUAUUAGGAGGAACACCAGUGGCGAAGGCGGCUUACUGGACUGUAACUGACGUUGAGGCUCGAAAGCGUGGGGAGCAAACAGGAUUAGAUACCCUUGUAAU
rnacentral:rRNA from 1 species